GUUUUGAUUUUACUCUCACUUUACUCACUAGAGUCACUUCCAGCAGCAGGCAGCUGUUUCCAGCAAAAAAAGAAGCUCUGAUAAACUCACUGUACGCUGCCUACUCAGCACCAAGCAACAGACAGAAAAACCGGAGCCGAUCGAUUCUCCACAGGCUGGUGGGCCGGGAAACCACCGCUUUCUGUCAGAGCCGUGAAUGAGCUGGUGGGUGGAUGGAUUACUCCAUUGUAGCGAGGGGCCACGCAGCUAGAGAUUUCACAUUAUAUUAAAUUAAAACCUGUAAUUAUGAAAACAAUGA